rnacentral:pre_miRNA from 11 species
GUUUUUCUCCUGGUAUCCACUGCCGGCCUAUAUGUCCUAUUUCGGUACUCAUAAGGCACGCGGUGAAUGCCAAGAGCGAACGC